UGCUUGCAUCAUGAUUUACAUUUGAGUGAGUGGCGAACUGGUGAGUAACACGUGGGAAACCUGCCCAGAAGCGGGGGAUAACACCUGGAAACAGAUGCUAAUACCGCAUAACAACUUGGACCGCAUGGUCCGAGUUUGAAAGAUGGCUUCGGCUAUCACUUUUGGAUGGUCCCGCGGCGUAUUAGCUAGAUGGUGGGGUAACGGCUCACCAUGGCAAUGAUACGUAGCCGACCUGAGAGGGUAAUCGGCCACAUUGGGACUGAGACACGGCCCAAACUCCUACGGGAGGCAGCAGUAGGGAAUCUUCCACAAUGGACGAAAGUCUGAUGGAGCAACGCCGCGUGAGUGAAGAAGGGUUUCGGCUCGUAAAACUCUGUUGUUAAAGAAGAACAUAUCUGAGAGUAACUGUUCAGGUAUUGACGGUAUUUAACCAGAAAGCCACGGCUAACUACGUGCCAGCAGCCGCGGUAAUACGUAGGUGGCAAGCGUUGUCCGGAUUUAUUGGGCGUAAAGCGAGCGCAGGCGGUUUUUUAAGUCUGAUGUGAAAGCCUUCGGCUCAACCGAAGAAGUGCAUCGGAAACUGGGAAACUUGAGUGCAGAAGAGGACAGUGGAACUCCAUGUGUAGCGGUGAAAUGCGUAGAUAUAUGGAAGAACACCAGUGGCGAAGGCGGCUGUCUGGUCUGUAACUGACGCUGAGGCUCGAAAGUAUGGGUAGCAAACAGGAUUAGAUACCCUGGUAGUCCAUACCGUAAACGAUGAAUGCUAAGUGUUGGAGGGUUUCCGCCCUUCAGUGCUGCAGCUAACGCAUUAAGCAUUCCGCCUGGGGAGUACGGCCGCAAGGCUGAAACUCAAAGGAAUUGACGGGGGCCCGCACAAGCGGUGGAGCAUGUGGUUUAAUUCGAAGCUACGCGAAGAACCUUACCAGGUCUUGACAUACUAUGCAAAUCUAAGAGAUUAGACGUUCCCUUCGGGGACAUGGAUACAGGUGGUGCAUGGUUGUCGUCAGCUCGUGUCGUGAGAUGUUGGGUUAAGUCCCGCAACGAGCGCAACCCUUAUUAUCAGUUGCCAGCAUUAAGUUGGGCACUCUGGUGAGACUGCCGGUGACAAACCGGAGGAAGGUGGGGAUGACGUCAAAUCAUCAUGCCCCUUAUGACCUGGGCUACACACGUGCUACAAUGGAUGGUACAACGAGUUGCGAACUCGCGAGAGUAAGCUAAUCUCUUAAAGCCAUUCUCAGUUCGGAUUGUAGGCUGCAACUCGCCUACAUGAAGUCGGAAUCGCUAGUAAUCGCGGAUCAGCAUGCCGCGGUGAAUACGUUCCCGGGCCUUGUACACACCGCCCGUCACACCAUGAGAGUUUGUAACACCCAAAGUCGGUGGGGUAACCUUUUAGGAACCAGCCGCCUAAGGUGGGACAGAUGAUUAGGGUGAAGUCGUAACAAGGUAGCCGUAGGAGAACCUGCGGCUGGAUCACCUCCUUU
rnacentral:rRNA from 1 species